rnacentral:rRNA from 1 species
CUACGGGACGCAGCAGUGAGGAAUAUUGCACAAUGGAGGAAACUCUGAUGCAGCAACGCCGCGUGGAGGAUGACGCAUUUCGGUGUGUAAACUCCUUUUAUAUGUCAAGAAAAUGACGGUAGCAUAUGAAUAAGCACCGGCUAACUCCGUGCCAGCAGCCGCUGUAAUACGGAGGGUGCAAGCGUUACUCGGAAUCACUGGGCGUAAACGACGCGUAGGCGGGAUAUCAAGUCAGGUGUGAAAUCCUACAGCUUAACUGUAGAACUGCACUUGAAACUGGUAACCUAGAGUAUGGGAGGGGGAGAUGGAAUUAGUGGUGUAGGGGUAAAAUCCGUAGAUAUCACUAGGAAUACCUAAAGCGAAGGCGAUCUCCUGGAACAUAACUGACGCUAAGGCGUGAAAGCGUGGGGAGCAAACAGGAUUAGAUACCCCGGUAGUC